rnacentral:rRNA from 1 species
AUUGAACGCUGGCGGAAUGCUUUACACAUGCAAGUCGAACGGUAGAGGGGGCAACCCCUUGAGAGUGGCGAACGGGUGCGUAAUGCCUAGGAAUCUGCCUAGUGGUGGGGAUAACGUUCGGAAACGGACGCUAAUACCGCAUACGUCCUACGGGAGAAAGCGGGGGAUCUUCGGACCUCGCGCCAUUAGAUGAGCCUAGGUCGGAUUAGCUAGUUGGUGAGGUAAAGGCUCACCAAGCCGACGAUCUGUAGCUGGUCUGAGAGGACGACCAGCCACACUGGGACUGAGACACGGCCCAGACUCCUACGGGAGGCAGCAGUGGGGAAUUUUGGACAAUGGGCGCAAGCCUGAUCCAGCAAUGCCGCGUGCAGGAUGAAGGCCU